rnacentral:rRNA from 1 species
GAUGAACGCUAGCUACAGGCUUAACACAUGCAAGUCGCGGGGCAGCAUGGGGGUUGCUUGCAACCCCUGAUGGCGACCGGCGCACGGGUGAGUAACGCGUAUCCAACCUGCCCUUCACCACGGGAUAACCCGGCGAAAGUCGGACUAAUACCGUAUGUUGUCCAUUGACGGCAUCCGAUUUGGACGAGCGGCUUGGCGGUGAAAGGAUGGGGAUGCGUCCGAUUAGCUUGACGGCGGGGUAACGGCCCACCGUGGCUACGAUCGGUAGGGGUUCUGAGAGGAAGGUCCCCCACACUGGAACUGAGACACGGUCCAGACUCCUACGGGAGGCAGCAGUGAGGAAUAUUGGUCAAUGGGCGUAAGCCUGAACCAGCCAAGUAGCGUGCAGGAUGACGGCCCUAUGGGUUGUAAACUGCUUUUAGGCGGGGAGAAAGUGGCCCACGUGUGGGCUUUUGCAGGUACCGCAUGAAUAAGGACCGGCUAAUUCCGUG